rnacentral:lncRNA from 1 species
CAUGUAAGAGUCAGCACCAACAGUAAAGCAGAUGUGCUCAAGUGCUGAUUUAGAGGGGUGUUUCCACAGACACUUCACUGGAUUUGCUUCAGCACCCUGCAUGGGAACUUCCACAAGACACACUUUGUGGAUUACACAAAUCUCUACCUCCCAGACUCAUUCAAAUUUUUGAAUGAGAAUUUUUUCUCAAAAACACCCCUAGAACAUGUUGAAUGUGCGUCAGCCAGUGUUAAAAAGCAGAACUUUUAUUAGUCACAAUACCCUAAGUAAUAAGCCUUCCUCUAAGCAUCCUGACUUUUAAUCCUUGAGCAUUUGUGUUAGAAAUGUGUUAGAAGUGAAAGAAAGCUGUAUUAGCAUAAAGGGUAGGUUAGAAGCACAUUAUGUGGGUAAAAGAGCUGAUCAUGGAUAUAUUUUUAGUCUUAACAUUUCCCCUCCUGUGAUCUGGGAGAUACUAGGAAACUGCCUCUUGCUCUGUGUUUUUCAUGGGAAAAUACAGGUGCUGUGAAGAACUGUUAAGGUGUAGUUGUCCUGGAGGUCUGCAGCAGUGGCAUUGCUACGUGUUUUUAUGGCCACAAAAACCAGCAAUAGACCAUGGAUUAGAUUGUGCUGGGCAUUUCAAGCAGUGAGGUGUUUUUUCUGCUUCCUAGUCCCUGUGUACUCCUGCACUUAUCAAAGCACUGAAACUCAUCAGGGAGUGUGUUCAAAUGCCUGGAGUCCUGAUGUGUGUUAUUUGUAACUUCCUCUGAUCUCUGCCAGUUAGAUAUACCUGGGGUAGUCUGAGUGCUGUCUCUUCCAUCACUUUCCCUCCAAGAUGGUGUAUCCUGGUGAUCUGCUAAAGAUUCCCCACUUCCAUGGCUGGAAAAAGUGCCAAGCCCCAUUCAUGUUUAUUUAGGCUUCAAUUUGCUUUAGUGAUGAGGAUUUUAGGAAGAACAAUGUCUCUGCAUCUGUGCACUGUGGAUAUAUUCCCUGUUCAUCAGGUGUGUGCUGUUAUCUGACUCUCUUUCCCUCUCCUGCCACGGGCACUUUUGGCAUCACUGUGCCACCACGCAGCCAAGGGGACCCAGAAGUUCUCUCAGUGGCAGUGUAGGGUGCAGUUUACCCUUGGAGCAAUGUUGGUGUAGCAGCCUGCUGCUGCUGGAAUUGCAACCCAGUCUGGAGCUGCAGGUGCAACUCGGUGUGCGGGCAGCAGAUGUGACACAAGGAUGGAGGUGGAGCAGGAAGGGGAGGCAGAAGAGAAUCCCAGCAGCACAUGUGUCUGCUAAAUGCUCUUUGCUGCCAUGCUGGCUGCAGCUUCAGCUCUGCCUGGCAGCUGCCUCAGGGCAGCGCAGAAGUGAGUGGGUGUGUGGGUCACGCAGCUCACGCAGUGCUUGGCACUUCAGCAGCUUUCCCUCCAUGCCUGGCUGGUGCCACCAACCCAGCAAAUCUGGAAAACUGUGUGUGAGAUGGGUUGGUGUGGCCCCGGUAGCAGGAGGCUGCUGCCACCAAUGCCUUUUCUGGGAGACUCUCCUCCCCUCCCUGCUAUGUGACCCACAUAGGUCUGGAGAAAAAGGGGGACAGCCAAGAGAAAGAAAGAGGCUUUGGCACAGAGACAUUGUCCAGCAUGGAUACAGGCUACAGCCCAGGCAGCCUAGUGAGGGGCAAGUCAAACAGAAAAUUAGGAUAAUUAGUUUUAUACGUGCCAGUGUUGUAGUUCCUCUCGGAGGGACCCCAAACUUCUUAGUAGAGUUUUUUCCCUUUUAAAUACUGUUCAAAUGUUUCUUCCCUCAGUCUUGAAUUACGCUGAGUGCUUUUCAUAGGUUAAUCUGCCUCUUUACCCUUGAGGGUAAUUGAGCAGUCACUGGGUUUGCAUCGUUUUUUCUUUUUAUCUUUCAAAUGUCUGUAAGCCAUUGUCUUUUUAAAAAAAAUAAUUAAACCCUCCUAUAGUUCUUUUACAGUUCAAAUUUGCUACAAAAGCAAGAUUCAAAUUGCACCGUUCUCCAUGGAGAAUGAUGAGUGUGUUAUGUAGGGGUGCAGUUCCUGUUCUUGAUGCAAUAACUCCCGUAACAAAGACACCUUUCUUCAGGGUACCUUCCUUCAAUUACCCUUUUCUUUCUCUUUCUUUACUAAUGUUAAUAAUUCAGUAUGUGGAAGCCAAGUCUUAAAGGUAGAUCAAUGCUUUGUGUCCCGACAUUUUGAAUUUCAGUUCCUUUGGUAAAUGCAGUCCCUGGUGUGUGUUUGGGCUCAGUAACCCUGGAGCAUUAAGCCAGAUCGUGCUGCCUCAAGCCAGGAGAGGAAAGUACUGAGAGUCAAGGCCUCAGAGCAGUUUGUCUUCACCUUUUAGAAUCAUUUAUGCAAUCCCCUGGGAAAGCCUUUUAGUACUGCACUGUAUUUGAUAGUGCCUGCUUUUCCUGUUAAGUAAGGAGUACUCAGGGAAGGCAAGGGGAGCACUGGGUUUUGCACAACAGUAAUUACUUCAGGCUUCAAUAGCAGGGACCUUUUGACCUAAUGCCACUUAGGCUGAUUCUGUCAUGUUUAAUCCCUCAUGCCCCAUCCUCCCUGUGAGCCUGCAGAGAUGUCCUGUUCUUACGUAUAAACAACGCCUUAAAGCACGCUCACCGAUGCAGCCGAUUACCUGUUCUUCGGGUGUCCCCAGGUCAGAGUGGCAGCCACAGAGGUGUGUCCCAUGCCUCACUGGCUGGCUGUAAGCUCCUCUCUGAGGCAUACAGUGUGGAGCUGGGAGAAAGGAAAACUAAAAGCUCAUCAUCUCCCUCAACCUGAAGCUCUACCAGUGUGUGACAGAUGCAAUCAAAACAUGACAAUUGAGUGGAACACCGGACGCCUGUGUUCUGUCACACGGUCAAAUGGUGCAUCAAGAAAGAAAAAGGCAGAGGAGAAGAAGGGCAAGCUGUCACUUGGUGCAACGGCGCUGGGUCUCUUUCCCAAACCUGACAAGUUCUGUCCUAAAACUGGUUACAAUGACUCCCACUGGAAUGCUGUUAUGAAACCUGCACAUCUCACACUUAUAAAGAAGAGAUGCUGUUUAGCUCCUCAGAUAUUUUCACUGUUGCUGUGCUGCUGGCAAGGACACUUUGGCCAUGUGGGACUGGUAACAAGCUGGAGCUGUGCCCUCAGCUUGCCUCAGCUGCAGAUUGCACAGAUCCUCCUCUGUCGUGUGCCCUUGCUCUUGGAGACUUCUAAGCUUGUGUCUGAGCACGAGGAAGAUGCAUCUUUAAAAGCACCCACAAGAAUGAACCCUGAACACAGAACUACAGCAUGUGGAAUGAAAAAUAUAUGACUAUUAGAAAAAAAGCAUUUUCUUUAUUACCUUGACUCAGCCCAGUUAGAUUCAAGAGUUCUACUCAAGAACCUGCAGGAGGUUCUUUUGCUUGCACCUGUGUUUUUAAAGUUACUUGUGCUGCGCUACACUGUCAGAAAUGGCUCUCCAACUCCGUGUGACAGUGAGGUGGAGACACAAUCAGGCAAAGGAACACAGGAGGACAUUUAUGGAACCAUGCAAAAUUUGGGGAUGGAGGAACAGAUCUCUUCAUACUCAGGUGUCAUGGGAUGACAGGGAGUCUAUUUCUGUUCAUAAAUAUGGAAUUGGCUUCAAGAGUCUGCUUUAAAACAAACCAAAUGUUGAUAGUCACAGGUACAUCACUAUUGAAGAACUGAAGGUUUCUCAGUGCUGCCAGGCUUACAGUGUCCUUUGCCAAGAAAAAAAAAAAAUACCGUGAAGUGUUCAUUAUAAAAUGGGACAUGCAUAACUUGAUUCUAUGAAUAUAAUUCUUUGGGGCAAAUGGAUAUUCAGGUGAGAGAGGUAAUUAGAUACACUCAGAUGUUUGCAUCUAAAAGGUAAAUCAGUAGGAUGUCUUUAAACACGAACGACAUUUGUACAGAAAACAGAAUUAUUUUGAAGACAUCUUCUGGAUUUCACAAAGGCUACUUUCAGUGAGAACAUACUUUUGAAAACUGACGGGGGUUUGGAAAAGAAAACCUUUUAACUAAAGAUAGUGACCUUUUUUUCAGUUGUAGCAGAGUUGAGCAUGUUCUGGAAGAAGUUUGGAUUUGUUAUGCAGCACCAGUGUUGCCUUCUCAAUGUCAUUUUCCCAUCUGUCUUGCUCAGCAGUGUCACGGUCUGGGCUGGUGCCUGUGUGCAGUCUCCAGUCAGAUCCUGCUGCACAGGGAGACAGUGAGCCUCCAAACUAUUAUUGUACAAUGUCAUGCUCCAUAUCUUCCUCAAAGGAACUGUGGAUACAAUUUGAACUUGUUUAUAUUCUUUCCAGUGGCCAGGAAAAUGAAUAAUUCCUUUUUCCGUAUUUGGAAUUCCUUCAACAAUAGAUUUACCAUUAUUUAAUCUUUCUUAUUUUAUGAACUAUAUUUAUCUUUUGGUUCUCUUAGAAUUCUGUUGCCUGACACAAGUACCAUGGAAAUUUAGGGAAACUUCUCAGUCUAUUGCAAGGAAAAUAGGCUGCAAAAAAUCUUACUUUGUCUAAAAUUUGCCAUCACUUUCCCCACAGCACAAACUGCCCAAUGUAUAAAGUGUUAAAGAUAUUUCAUUUAAUGUCAGCACUCAUAAAAAGGUAAAACACAAUCUAUUGGUGAAAAUACUUUUUCUCUUCUGCUCAAGAUUUAUUUGGCAUUGUAUUAAUAUUUAUAUUAAUUCUGUCCUGGAAAGUGCUUAGGCUGGAAAUGAGUGAUGUCUUGCAGAUGGUGUGCCAAAUUUUUGUACAUAUCUUGUGCCUCUUGCAGCCCUUCCUUCUGUCUAGCUCUCCUGACAUCUGUAGGUUGUGUGGUUCAACAGAAAGCACUCCAGAUCAGGAACAAGAGGUUGCCGUGAAUUCUUCCUGCCAACUAGAUAGCCACUAAAUAAAAGUGC